rnacentral:rRNA from 1 species
UAGGGAAUCUUCGGCAAUGGACGAAAGUCUGACCGAGCAACGCCGCGUGAGUGAAGAAGGUUUUCGGAUCGUAAUACUCUGUUGUUAGAGAAGAACAAGGACGGUAGUAACUGAACGUCCCCUGACGGUAUCUAACCAGAAAGCCACGGCUAACUACGUGCCAGCAGCCGCGGUAAUACGUAGGUGGCAAGCGUUGUCCGGAUUUAUUGGGCGUAAAGCGAGCGCAGGCGGUUUCUUAAGUUUGAUGUGAAAGCCCCCGGCUCAACCGGGGAGGGUCAUUGGAAACUGGGAGACUUGAGUGCAGAAGAGGAGAGUGGAAUUCCAUGUGUAGCGGUGAAAUGCGUAGAUAUAUGGAGGAACACCAGUGGCGAAGGCGGUUCUCUGGUCUGUAACUGACGCUGAGGCUCGAAAGCGUGGUGAGCAAACAGG